GCGAGCACCACGCGUCUCCACCGCCGCGCUGUUCUGCGGGUUCUGGAGGAGGUCGCUCCGGUACAAGGUGACUUCUGAAAGGCUUCCUCUUUACCUUUACACAGCACAAAUGCUAGAAGAGGCAAUAAUCCCAGUCGCGACAGGACGCACAUUGUGAGUGUCGGUUUCUUCACGUUUCUGCGCACCUGGCCGCUCAAGCGCGCAGGCUGCACGCCGAGGAAAACAUUCGAGUUAGUGCCCUGUCCACUUCCACACCUGCCGCCACACUUGUCCCGUUUAACCUAAGCUUACGAUCCUCCAAGAGCAAUGUGGAGAAGCUUUCUGACCCCCUCUGCAACCCAGCUGCUCUUCCUGUGCGCCUGAGUGGAAAGGUAGCCGCCGUGUCCCGAGGAGGAUGCCGAACAGAUACUGGACCUGCAUGUGUGCAUAAAGAAGUAUCCAAGUGCAAAACACCACCUGUGGCAGUCAUGAGGAAUAGGGGCAAUUACUCCUGGGCAUACCAUCCAGCCUCAGCCACACCUCUCCUGAAAACACAUAUUCCAUUAAAUAACAUCUCUCAUAUUUUACUACUCCUAUACUGCAUAUAAAUACACAUAACUACCCAAAUUACCUAAUAAUGACCUGAAAUACCCAUAAAACAAUGUACAAAAUAGUACACCCAGUUCCCCUCACACUUGGUCUCAACCCAUGACAUUACCAAUGACAUCACUGGCCACUUCCUCCUUUUGAUUUCUGCCACGUGAGGUAAGUAUGUUAAGUAUGAAAAACAGCAGUAAAAUUCAAAUAAACAGUAUAUCACCCAACAAUGAUCUAUGUAUGUAAC
rnacentral:lncRNA from 1 species